rnacentral:lncRNA from 1 species
CGAGCAACCGAACCGAGCCACUCAGCCGAGCCCAGACGAGCAGCCGAGCCGCUUCGAGUGCCUCCGAGCCCGAGCCGAGCCCGAGCGAGCGCCACCGGCUGCAGCUACCGUGACAACUGGUGCUUGCAGCUGUCAAUCAGAGGCAUGGCCCAAUCAGCGUCUUCCGCCUGGACCGCCCCGCCAGUCUCUAAGAGCGCGCUGGGCCAGGAAAAGCGAGAUUGGGGUGUUGUUGGGGCGGGGGCGAAGGGGAGGCCAGGACAGAGCCAGGAGCCUCCGGAGAGUGCUUUAGCUGCCUGGUGCCUUGUCAUUAAAACGAAUGCCGGACGGCGCAGGAAGCAGACCUUGGGAAGACGUCCAUGUGGUCGCCUUGGUCUAGGGGUUUCUCCCUGAACCCCUGGGUUUUGGAAGGAGUUUUCCGCCCUCGCGAGCGUUUUUCAUAUAAAACGGGGCCAUUGGAUCGUGGCAGGGUACUGCAGUCGGUUUUGGAGUGCUGGUCACCAGGCACAGCCACUAAGAAUUGAUGAAGAGAGAAACUGUGUCCGAAGCAAUUGAGCAGAGCGCUCUCUGCAUGGGGUCUUCCCAGCCCACUGGUAACGGUUGAAUCAAGAUGGAGCGAGUUUGGAGAUGUACAUCAAAGCUUCUCCUGCUUCACGUGUCUCCAAAGCGUUCCUUGGCUGCCAGGGAAGAAGAGCAUCACACUCAUGGUGAACACUGAUAAUUAAAGUCAACAUCUCUGCACACUGAGUCAAUUUAUUGAACACCUUUUUUAUUGCUAGGUAAUCCUGUAUGUCAAUUCUCUAUAGCCAAAUAAUUGGUGGGUUUCCUUUUUUUUUUUUUCAAAUUUAAUGUCUCUCAUGAAAUUUGCAUUUAAUAAAGGUUGCUUUCCUGCCUUUCUCAGG